CCCUAUGGGGUGGUACUAAUCCACAUGACGAGUUAAAACCAAUUACUAAUCAGUUAAGUGCAAAAUUAAAGGGUGAUUUAUUACAUUAUUCAAUAAUCUCUGUUAGCCAUCAUGUUAAACAAAUUGACUAUUUCACCACUAUUGCAGCAAAACAGUUGAGCGGGACACAAGCCUCAAUUCUCGUUAUCAAGAUUAUUGCCAGUCCUUUAAUAAGUUUUUUCAGAGACUAUUUUCUGAAAUUUGGCUUUUUGGAUGGGAUUCAUGGUUUUGCUAUUGCUACACUAUCUGCUUUUUACACUUUCCUCAAAUAUCUGAAAGUAUUACUAGGUUAUCAUGAAUAGACCAUUCGAUAUCGUUUGCCAUUUGAGCUCAAAAAUGAAUUGGCGGGAGGGC
rnacentral:rRNA from 1 species